UUGACUCAGUUAUCAGGACAUUGAGCCCUCACAGCCCGGGAAGCGAGGUGGUAAGUGGGGCUGUUUGUCACGGCUCAGGCGGUCAACUUUGAAGCAAAGCAUUCCUUGCAGGUAGAGAUCUGCCCGGGACGCAGCCCAUCCCAGACUGCAAAACCGCAAGCAUGAACAGCAGGAGCCGAGCAAAGUGCUCGGCGAAGGAAGGGGAAGGCUGAGUGAGCUACACGGUCACGAACAGAAGCCUGCGCGUGGGUUAAUGCCCUAACCACACGCCCCCCGGACGCAGGGCUGCUGAGGCUGCGAAGCCGACAGCAGCCACAGCGUAGCUGCAAGCGGCAGCGGCGGAGGCGGCAGCAAUGUCAGGAGGGCACAGCUGGAGGCUGCGGCCACAGAAGCCACCACCCCGCCCCCAGAAAAAAGCCCAUAUGAAGAUACAAGGAGAACGGAGCCAUCUGCAAGCCUGGAAGAGAAACCUCACCAGAAAUCAACCCUGUUGGUACAUUGAUCUUGGACUUCUGGCCUCUAGAAUGAAUUAUCUUCACUGAAAAUUUCCUCUCCAAAGGAUGGAAAAUCAAAGUGCAGAAAUAUAAGAAUAUUAAGAACGUGAAGCUGGAUGAGAGGUAGAUGUUUUCAGGAGGGACGCCAUAACUAUCAGGAAAAAACAUGAAGAACUUUUAUACAUGCUCCAAAGAUGAAUAGCCGAAUAGAUAUUUUAGGUUUUGGCCAGGGCUGGGUUUGAACCCACCACCUCCAGCAUAUGGGGCCAGCACAUCACUCCUUUGAGCCACAGGAGCCGCCCUUACGAACAACAGAAUUUUGUCUUACAAUUCCAGAGUCUGGGAAGUCUGAAAUCAAGGGACUAGUAGAUUUGGUGCCUGGUGAGGGUCCAUUGCUUGAGUCAUGGGUGGCACUUUAUCACUGUGUCCUUAAGUGGUAGAAGAAACAAGGCAGCUCUCUGGGGCCUCUUUUAUAAGGGCACUAAUCCCAGUCAUGACGACUUUGCCCUUAUGUCCUAACCCUUACUAAAGGCCCCACCUCCUGACACCUUCACAUUGGUGAUUAGAUUUCAACCUAAGAGUUUGAGGGGGUCCAGGCUCAGUGGCUCAUGCCUAUAAUCCUAGCACUCUGGGAGGCCGAGGCGGGUGAAUUGCUUCAGCUCACGGGUUCAAGACCAGCCUAAGCAAGAGCGAGACACCAUCUCUAAAAAUAGCCGGGCACUGUAGUGGAUGUCUAUAGUCCCAGCUACUUGGGAAGCUGAGGCAAGAGAAUCAUUUGAGCUCAAAAGUCUGAAGUUGCCGUGAGUUAUGAUGCCGCAGCACUCUACCGACGGCAACAAACUGAGAUUCUGUCCCAAAAAGAAAAAAAAAGAAAGAGUUUUGGUGGGACACAGAUAUUCAGACCAUAGCAGAUAUUCAGUUAUACUUCUAUAAAUGUUUUUAAAGAGUUAUUGGGUAGCGAACAGAAUUGCUGAAAGGCCUGAAACUGAGCAGAAGGGAUAAACCAGCCACAGAACUGAUAUGAUGAGGAACUUGGCUAGUGUUACAACUAUGUUGGUUUUCCCAGGACUGAGUUGACUUCAGUGGUUUCCAGGGAUUUGGAGGCUUCCAUGCUAUAAUCUGGAAAGUGCUGGGCCAAGGAUGACAAAGCAGUCAUCCUGCAGCUAGCACCGCAGACAUCAAGCACAAGACAGACAAAACGAUUUGCUCUUUGGCCAUUUAUGCACUGGGAACUCAAGCUUUCGGUAACGUCUACUGCCACUAGGAA